GUGCCUAUGUGGCCAUGUGAUGUACUGCUAUGUGCUGUCAAGCUAUGGUGUGGAUAUGUGAUGUACUAUGAGACUGUGAUUUUAAUAUCUUAUGAUCUUAUCUGUGUAUUGUUCAUUUGUUUGAAUACGGAUUGUGCAUGGUUGCAAUUGUUGCGUCAAGCUAACUGUUUGAAGUGGUUACAUGUAUCGAUGUUCGCGUUUUGUGUUAUCGAUUCCCGGUCGUAAUCGACAUGUUCCCGAUUGAAAUAUUCCAUUCCCGAUAUCCCGUAAUAUCGAAUUCAUUUUCCUGUCCGGCUUUCCCAUUUCCGCUCCCAUUCCCGGCUAAAAAAUAUAGGAGCGGGAAUGGUGCAGACGUUUUCCCGACCAUUCCCAACCACUUUCAUCCCUAUCUAUUGC
rnacentral:lncRNA from 1 species